CCGGUAGCUAAAUGCGGAAGAGAUAAGUGCUGAAAGCAUCUAAGCACGAAACUUGCCCCGAGAUGAGUUCUCCCUGACUCCUUGAGAGUCCUGAAGGAACGUUGAAGACGACGACGUUGAUAGGCCGGGUGUGUAAGCGCAGCGAUGCGUUGAGCUAACCGGUACUAAUGAACCGUGAGGCUUAACCUUACAACGCCGAAG
rnacentral:rRNA from 1 species